CUGCGUGCUCGGCACAGUCAGGAACAAAAAUGCAUCUACCUUGGAUGCAGUCAACUACCCUGGACAUCUUUCUCCCGCCAUGCAACUGUGAGAACCCACCGAAGCACAGAUUGUCAGGAAGUGGAAAGACUUUUCGGCAACAAUUUUGCAUUGCGCACUCUGCCCGUCUCCUGAAAUAGCAUAUUAAGGAAUACACUUCUGGCAAAGCAGCAAGUGUUGCUUGCCCACCAGUCUGUGUUCAAGUCAAGUGUAUUGUGGGCAUGAGUGUCGGCAGGAUUUUGUCUUGGGGGUGCAAGGCGGCGUAACGUGUCGGCCUGGUGAGCAGGAGAGCAUUGGUGUAGCUU